rnacentral:rRNA from 1 species
GUCUAUGACCAUGCCACCUUGAACCAAUCUCAUCUGAUCUUGGAAGCUAAGCAGGGUUUGGCCUGGUUAGUACUUGGAUGGGAGAUAUGCUGAGCAUGUUCUUCCUUUUUGGUU